GUGGGGCUGCCCGUGGUAGAGCCUGGUUAGAAACGUCCCUGCAGCCGCAGCUCUUCCCUCGCCCCGGGCUCCCCAUCCCCGCCCUUGCCCCACUGAGGGAAGUGUCCCAAACCUCCUUCACGCCGUGGCUGAGUACAGGACAAAGCCAGCCCUGCUCCUGCCUCGUUUGUACUCGAGUUCCUGCUUCCUGCAGAUCCCUGCCUCUGGUAUUUUAUAACCUGCAGACCCGUCCUGCAGUGGCUUUCACCACACACGCUGCCAGCCCCUCUGGGAACGCGGGCUCCUUGUGAAGCCGUCCCCAAAUGGUGGCAUUUUUAGGAACCCAUCGCCACAGACCCCUUUUCAGGACUCUGCAGGAACAGAGCCGCCUACAGGCGCCACUGCUUAACACUGAAAUUCCUCCUGCGCCAAAAGAGGCUCAGCACUUGUGGAAACGGCACCAUCGUGUUGCCCUAAGAUGGGUGAGCUGCAGGGCAGAAUUUAAACACUGUUUGCUGACCCUGAGACACAGCAAAUCACGGCAGGUUGUGCAUCAGGCAUUAUCACCAACCACAGCAAGGCCAGCAGCCUGUUCCACUGGACACAGGGAAGGCAGAGCCCUCAGACUCCUCUGGCAUCCUGAACUUCCAUGAGACCUGAAACACUCAGCAGUCAAAAGGCAAGUUUGAUUAGUUUAUUUAAAAUUAAACAUUCUUUCUGUUCAGCUACUGCACAUGGAGCCAAACCUUGUGUCUGAUCAUUGUUAGUGCCAGAAAACUGAUUCAAAAUUAGAGACUAACAGAGACCAAAGCUGCAGAGAAGCAGCUUCUCCGGUGUUGCCUCAGAACUGCAGGAUUUGGGUUUAUGCUGAAGCUUUUUACCAUUUUAAGCUCAGAGUUGCCCUUCUCUAGUGUGAAGAGGUUUUAUGGUUACUGGACAGAGUUACUGGUGUGGAAAAGCAGCAAUGAUUUUGCUUGGUUGUAGCUGUUGCACUGAUUUUCCUGGGCAGCAGGGCAGCUCUUCCAAGCUGAAUUCUUCCUGUUCAAUCAGACAGCACCGUGCAAGGCCCAAGUCAAUAUCAAAAGAUAAUUAAGCCAAUCAGAGAAAGCUCCUUGGAAAUGCGUGGGUAGGAAAAAAAAAUCUGGACACUUCACUUGGGAUUGUCGUUUUCUUGACAAAUGCCUUUAAAAAACCA